rnacentral:lncRNA from 1 species
AUUGAUAAUUGGCCUAAAUAAAUAGUAGGUUAUUUGAUAGAUAAAUAUACUAAAAUCACAAUAAAGAUGCUUCUUCUUUUUGUAGUGCCUAUCUGUUUCGGAUGUUGACAACCAUCAUGACAAUCUAUACUUUGCACACUGCUGCUCUAAAAAGAUUUGUGGUUGUUGUGUUGAAGCACGUACGUAGAUUUUUCAGCCAGGAAAUCCUUUGCCUUCCUGGUCCCCGUUUUCCUUCUACUUAUCCUUGAAAGAUUAGUUGCAGCAGUCAAUAUAUUUUACUUUUCCUCAUGAUGUGACCGAGGUAUUCGAUUUUGGCUGUUUUUAUUGUGAUUAAUAGCUCUUUUUCUUUUUGCAUUCUCAGCAAAACACUCUGAUUAGUAAUGUGGUUAUUAUAAGAUAUCUUCAGGAUUCGAUGAUAAAGCCACAUUUCAAAAGCCUCAAUAUACUUGCAGGUGCCAUCUGUGAGAGUCCACAACUCAAGUCCAUACAACAGUACACUAAAGAUAUAACAUCAUAGUAACCUGAUUUUUAUGGGUAUCGACAAAUCAUGACAUUUGAAUAACUUAGCCAUUGCUUGAAAUGUAGAUCUUGCUUUCUCUAUCCUACAUUUGAUUUCUAUGGAAUGAUCCCAAUCUUCAUUGACGUUCGUACCAAGGUAAUGAUCAAGAAAAUAGAUACAAUAGUGCACAUGUAAGAACAAGAAAUGUUGCCGAAAAGCUAUUUGGAACCUGGAAAAAACAGUUUCCAUGUCUUCAAAAGUUCUACAAACCGAAUUAAAUACAUACCUUGCAAUAUGUGCUACAACAGUACCUUAUAAGUUAUAAUCUGGGUGCAAGAGAAAAUCAUGAUGGUGAUGAUGAUUUUGUAGAAAAUCUUGAUUUGUCGGUAAAUGGAAAUGUUAAUGAUGUGGAACAAUGUUUAAAUUUUAGGAGGCAUUUUUAUCGACAAUAUUUUGCAUGAGAAUGAGAAUACAUUAUUGAAUACUUGUAAUAUAUUAAAUGUUUUUUUUUUAAUAUUUAAUGGGUCGUCUUUCUUUGGGAUUUUUUGCCUAUUAUUUCUCAAAUAUCAUGAUCAUUGGCUUGACAACUCUUUUUGUUUGAGUUUUGGUCCCUUCAGGAAUACUUACUUCUCCAUUCUAAUCUAUUUGAAGAUUUUGAUUUUUUGUUCUUCCAAUUUUUUAUUUUUAAAAUUUCAAUGUCUUAUCCUAUUUGUUCCUUGCCUAUAUGUAAUCUUUGGUCUUCCUCCUGUUAAUGUCCAGCUGAUAUUUCUUUGUUUAUUUUGGAAAAUAUUUCAUGUUCUUCCAUCUUUCCUCUUAUUAUGUGCUCCUAUUUUGAUGAAUGUUAGUAUAUAGAUUCUGGUAUGUCCAGUAUAGUUCAAAAUUAUAUCUUCUUCUCAAUUUCCCUUUUUUUUUUUCUUCUUUGUAUAUGUGUCAAGAUUCUUCUGCCUAAGUAACCAAUUGGUCGUCUUCACUUUAAGUAAGUAACCAGAUUUCAGAUUCAUAUGUAAAUACUGGAUGUAUUAAGGUUUUGUGCAAUUGACAUUUAGUUUUUCUUGUAAUAUCUUAUCUUGGUUGUUUGAUCGAGCCCUGGUAACUUUAAUUGGCUAUGAACUGUUUGUAUUGCUAUGUUAGAUGCUAUUUAGCCUGAUUUCAGUGCUUUGUUAUUGUUUAUUUUAUCUACUUGUCUACUGCUAGUCUAUUAUUGUACUUUCACUAUAUAUGUUUUGAAUUUAUAUAGUAAUCUGUCUUUCUCUUCUAUCUAUAUUCCACUAGAAUUUGUUUAUUUAUUCUGAGAAUACAUUAUUGAAUCCUUGUAUAAUGUGAGAUAUAUGUAGUUUCUUUUUUAGUUUACUUCUCAACAUGUAUUUUUUAUAUUUGAUGUUAAAAUAAAUGAGUACGAGUUUUUCUCCUUUUAAA